rnacentral:rRNA from 1 species
UACGGAGGGUGCAAGCGUUGCUCGGAAUCAUUGGGCGUAAAGCGUACGCAGGCUGUUCGUUAAGUCGGGUGUGAAAGCCCGGGGCUCAACCCCGGAACUGCGCCCGAAACUGGCGAGCUUGAGUGCGGGAGAGGGAAGCGGAAUUCCUGGUGUAGAGGUGAAAUUCGUAGAUAUCGGGAAGAAUACCUGUGGCGAAGGCGGCCAGCUGGGCCAGAUCCGACACUGAGGCGCGAAAGCGUGGGGAGCAAACAGG